rnacentral:misc_RNA from 1 species
CAGGCUCCCAUUAGAGUCACGGAGCAAUUUUGUUUUCUCCCACAAUUGCUGUUGGCCUGACUGUCGUGCAGGUCAUAUCGUGCUCGGGCUGCCUCAGAGUAACUGUUGAUUCGGCUUAUUGUCACCCCGCUCUUUUGAGUGGAAGUGCGGCCCCAAGACAUACAUCUUUGUCCCUUGCCUUGUAUUGCGAUUUUGGCCAUCGGUAUAGACGGCAAAAUUGUCGUGCUCCAGGAGUUGGUUUUUAGAGUUUCGCUAAUAUGCUCUAUAAACGUUUAGAGUGGUAAAACAAAACGUCUGUACGAACGAUCUCUUGUAUCCACAGGAUGUCGACUGCCCCAAGAAUAUCGACUUUGUUGGGGCAGAUCUCCGAGCAAUACCUCUGGAGUGACCACCAUCACAUCUCCUGGUGGACCUCGUCAUUUUGGGAUCAAUUUUCCGAUGUUGUGAUAACCAGAUGACUGUAAAUUUACGGUACAAGGAACGACGGAAAAGAUCUGCUUAUUCAGAUUACGAAUCUUUGUUAGCGAGUCUAGGGAAGAUGUCGGUAUAAUGGGGUGCAAGGCGGGGGGUGUUUGUGGUCUAUUGUUCUAUAUUACUGGUACAUACACACACUGUGCCGUGUUAGCUCCAUCCAUCUUGAUCAUCUCCAGCUGUGUAGGUACGAGUGGCUGGACCCUUAUGUUGUGUUAGGAUAGCCCAAAAUGAAAUACAAAGAUAUCUGAUGAG